AAUGGACCGGAUGGACGGCCGUCCCUGCAAACCUCAUUCGCUUGCCGACAUUUGCACAUGCGGUGAAGUAAUUAAGGGCGAUCUGUAUGUGUUAGUGUGUGUGUGUGUUUGUUUGAUACGCAAAAAGUACUGCUAAGAUGUCUUGAGAUGACACGAAUGAAGCCCGAGUGAAGUCUCUUUAAUGUAGAGAAACAUAACACAAAAGAUGCAUAACUACAACUCUGCCAGACCUACCAGGGCGAUCCGGGCGUCUAGAAGAGCAAACGGGAAGCGGAGAUCUAACAGGCCGUCACGUGUUGUCGGUAAUGGGCACGCUUCCAGCCAGCCUGCCAACACAUCCUAAUGGCAUUGCGAAGGAAAAAGAACCCUAUCUGAGGAACGGGAGAGUGGCGAGAAGUAGAAGAGGAAGAGGGAGGAAAAAAACAAACGCUUCCGCUUCUUCGCCCAAGAUAGCGCUCGUAUUACGUAUCGGUCUGCGGCAGCUGCGUUUUCAGUUAGAUCGUACUGCUGCCAUACUGCCUCGUUUAUCGAGCGUGUUGUCUAUGUGUUUGUGUGUGUGUGUGUUGCGGCAUUGCUUUCACAGGGUUUUACGAGAGCAACUACAAAAAAAAGACACCAUUUCCGUUUGUCCCAAAUUCAAACAGCACCGACAAAUCUUCACAAAUCUUCAGGAACUCCCCAGUAAGUCACACCAGUAAAGAUCGGAAAGCAUGCGGAGUACUAGGAGAUAGGCAAAGGCACUAGAUUGAUGAGGCUUUAUUAACAGAUAUACAGGUAGCUUUUGUUACACUGGAAGGUAAUAAUGAUAAUGAUUAGUCUAAAACCUUUCCCAGCAAGGCCGCUUGGUGCGUCCUGACUUGCACAUGUUAAGCGACUUCCAGCGGUUUAAACAAUGAUUGCUGCAUUAGGAAAAAACUUGCACCUAUAUCUCCCGGGAUCAUAAAUAAAAAAAAAUCAAUUAAACACA